rnacentral:rRNA from 1 species
GAUGAACGCUGACAGAAUGCUUAACACAUGCAAGUCUACUUGAACUUCGGUUUGGGUGGCGGACGGGUGAGUCACGCGUAAAGAACUUGCCUCACAGAUAGGGACAACAUUUGGAAACGAAUGCUAAUACCUGAUAUUAUGAUUUUAGGGCAUCCUAGAAUUAUGAAAGCUAUAUGCACUGUGAGAGAGCUUUGCGUCCCAUUAGCUAGUUGGAGAGGUAACGGCUCACCAAGGCGAUGAUGGGUAGCCGGCCUGAGAGGGUGAUCGGCCACAAGGGGACGCAGAGACGCGCCCCUUCCCCCAGGGGGGCAGCGGGGUGGGAUUUUUGGAAAAGGGGCCCAGGAGUUUGACCGAACUUUUUGGGUGGCAGGAGAAAUUUUUUGGGAUAAAAAGGUUUUUUGAGUGGGGAAAAAAAAAAUGCCGGUACCAAAAAAAGAAGCGCCGGCUAACUCCGUG